UACGGGGGGAGCAAGCGUUGUUCGGAUUUACUGGGCGUAAAGGGCGCGUAGGCGGCCACCGCAAGUCGGUUGUGAAAUCUCUGGGCUUAACCCAGAAAGGUCAAUCGAUACUGCGGGGCUAGAGUGCAGAAGGGGCAACUGGAAUUCUCGGUGUAGCGGUGAAAUGCGUAGAUAUCGAGAGGAACACCUGCGGCGAAGGCAGGUCUCUGGGCCACUACUGACGCUGAGAAGCGAAAGCAUGGGGAGCGAACAGG
rnacentral:rRNA from 1 species